AUGUCCAUCGUGGCGGACCUCCCUCGCCCGCGUGAGGAAGGCCGCGCGUCGACUCGCGCCCGAUCUUGCUCCGAUUUCCCCAGCCGGACGCCGGCCGAGAGGCUCACCGACGACCUCCUCGUGGGGAUCCUCUCGCGCGUCCCCCACCGCAAACGGCUCCCCCAAACCCUGGCCGGCUUCUUCUACGGCAGCAUUACCAAUAUCACCGGGCAGCGGGUUGUGGAGCUGCCCGUCCAGUUCAGCAGCCUCUCGACGGACGUCCGCUCUCCGGUUGGUACCUCCUUCACCUUCCUGCCCAACCACCACCUGCCCGUCGAUCUGCUCGACUCCUGCAAUGGCCUCCUCCUCUGCCGAUGUUACCACGUUGCCGAUGGAGUCGGCACAUUCCAUUAUCUUGUGUGCAAUCCCGCGACCGAGAAGUGGGUCGUGUUGCCCAACUCCGGCAACGACAGCAGCCAGGUGGCCACCACAUUCUUGGGCUUCGACCCGGCCCUAUCGCCGCAUUUCCAUGUGUUUGAGUUGGUGCAGCAGCACAAGUACGGCGAGAAUUCCGACAUUUCCGGAGUGACAGUGUAUUCGUCUGAAACCGGAGAAUGGGUUUCUAAGGAGAAGAGAUGGAGCAGAGCUACUUGGUUUGCUAGUCGGCACUCCUCCGCGACAGUUUUUCUCAGUGGCCUUCUGUUUUUUCGUGCCCUUGACCUUGAAUUGCAUGACUGUGUAGCCGCGGUUGACGCAAAGGGGGAAAUAUGGAUGAAACUCAGGGUCCCUGGUGGUCAGCUUGAUGGUUUUGUUCAGCGGUCGAUACUCGGGGCCCCUGGUGAUCCUUUUGAUGAUUUUGAUCUGGCUUACGGUUUUAUUCAGCGGUCGCAGGGCCGCUUGCAUUAUGCCAAUUUUCAGAGGGAUAAAGAUGGUGUUGCCGUUCGAUUACUAGUUUAUGUUCUGGAGAACUAUCAAGACAAACAGUGGAUAUUAAAGCAUAGCAUUGAAACUUGA
rnacentral:rRNA from 1 species